GUCUGGCGGCCCGAGUGGGUGGGUCUCCAUCUGCUGGCAGCACCCCACAACUCCCAGCAGCUGAGGAUGGCGAGGCUGGAUAAGGGAAGGCCAGGAUCCUAUCAGGGGCCCACCUGGCCCAGGAGCAGCCCUCGGCUGGCCUGAGCCUUGCUGGGGUUUCCAGAGUCUGUGCAGCCCCAUCCCCAUGCCAUCCCAGUCUGCGCUUGACUCCAGACUCCCCAGGAAUCCUGGGCUUCCUGGCAGGAUUUCUUUCCAGUGCCCGCACUGACAUCUUGGAGCCCUGGUGCCCUCUGGUGACAAAAUCCAUCCAUGGCAGUUACAGCUUAUCCCUAGGAUACAUCUGUCCAGACAAAGUGCUGUCUUUAUGCCUGCCUCACAUCAUGUUUCCAAGGAGUGCUCUUGGGAGAAGAUGAGUGAGGGGAACCAGACAGGACAAGAGGAAUAAAGUUGAACAAGAAUUCGGGAGUGUUAUCUGGAGACUGUCCUCAGCCUAGUUCUCAGGGGAGCAUCGGAGCAUGACGGUACCACAGAACUGGCUCUCGUUUCAGCUCUUCAACCCUGUGUGUCUUCAGAUACCAUCCAGUGCUCCUGCCAAGGCCGCCAGUGACCUUCACAUUGAGAAAUCUGAUGGAUGUCUUUUCCUCUCAGCUGUGACCCUCUCAGCAGAUGUCACCUCUAGCCUUGAAAAUCUCUCCUGUGGCCUCAGUGACAGCUGCUCUCCGGGGUUCCCUUCUGCUUCCUAAACCUGUUCCUUUCGGACAUCCUCAUGGUUCUCCCUCUCAGAGCGUUUGUGUUCCCGAGUCCUGAGCUGGUCUCCUCUGUCUCUCUGCGUACCUCUCCUGGGACAGUUCCUGCACUUGUGUGGCUUUGGUUACCAUCUGCACUCAGAUUACUUCUAAACAGCUUUCCUGGGAAUUCCUACGUGGUCCAGUGGUUAAGACUCUGCGGCUCACUGCCAAGGCAAAGUUCAAUCGCUGGUCCCCACAGGCCAUGCGCUGUGGCUAAAUAAAUAAAUUAAAUGAACAGCUUUCCUUAGCUCAGCCACAGCUUCUGACUUGGAGAUCUGUGCAUCCCUUUGUGUACUCUUUGAGGCGCCUAAAUUCGCUAAAUCUGAACUAGAGUUCUCAGCUGUCUGACAAAACAUUCCUUCUCCAGCAUCUUCUGUCUCAGGGAGAGGUGCCAUCAUCCAUUCAAUCCCCAAGCUCAAAACCUUCUCUCUCACAUCCCCCACCUAACAUCCUCUGCAAUCUACCAGGUCCUACUGACUCUGUCUCUUGACUAUCUUGACUUAUUCAUUUCUCUUUGUUUCCUGGCUCCACCCUCAUCCAAGUUGCCAUUAUCUCUGGCUUGCAAUAGCCUCUGCACUGGUCUCCCCAGUCUCUACUUGUU
ensembl:lncRNA